rnacentral:rRNA from 1 species
GACGAACGCUGGCGGCGUGCUUAACACAUGCAAGUCGAACGGUAAGGCCCUUCGGGGUGCACGAGUGGCGAACGGGUGAGUAACACGUGGGUGAUCUGCCCUGCACUUCGGGAUAAGCCUGGGAAACUGGGUCUAAUACCGGAUAGGACCACUGCCUGCAUGGGUGGUGGUGGAAAGCUUUUGCGGUGUGGGAUGGGCCCGCGGCCUAUCAGCUUGUUGGUGGGGUGAUGGCCUACCAAGGCGACGACGGGUAGCCGGCCUGAGAGGGUGACCGGCCACACUGGGACUGAGAUACGGCCCAGACUCCUACGGGAGGCAGCAGUGGGGAAUAUUGCACAAUGGGCGCAAGCCUGAUGCAGCGACGCCGCGUGAGGGAUGACGGCCUUCGGGCUGUAAACCUCUUUCAGCACCGACGAAGCGCAAGUGACGGUAGGUGCAGAAGAAGGACCGGCCAACUACGUGCCAGCCGCCGCUGUAA